AAACCAGCACCUCAAGUGGUCAGGAGGAUUAUUGGGCCUAAAGCAUCCGUAGCCUGUUCUGUAAGUUUCCGGUUAAAUCCAUUAGCUCAACUAAUGGGCUGCCGAAAAUACUGCAGAACUAGGGAGUGGGAGAGGUAGACGGUACUCGGUAGGAAGGGGUAAAAUCCUUUGAUCUAUUGAUGACCACCUGUGGCGAAGGCGGUCUACCAGAACACGUUCGACGGUGAGGGAUGAAAGCUGGGGGAGCAAACCGGAUUAGAAACCCGGGUAGUCC
rnacentral:rRNA from 1 species